AUGUGACAUCACAAGAAACUUGAAACCGUCACUCAGCCGCCCUCCCUGCUCCCUGCCUGCUCCCCCCUCUCCCCAACCUCUCCCCGAGACGCCCUGCUUCUCCACUGGGCUCCACAAACCAGGGCCAGCGGUACCAUCCACCACCCAGCCCAAACUGCAGCUCUGCUCCCUGGACUUCACCACAUAGGGUCCCCCUCCUCUGGAGAUUUCACCUUUCAACACAUUCAUCCAAUGUUCCCGUCCUAAGUAUGGAGCUCUUACCGAACGGCGAUGCUGCUGUGGAGGCAGGAGUCCCACCAGAGGAGGAAAAGUUCCUGCAGCACAAGAGUGAUGGACGGAAGAGGCCUCAGUUCACCGACUUUGAGGGUAAAACCUCCUUCGGGAUGUCAGUCUUCAACCUGAGCAACGCCAUCAUGGGCAGCGGCAUUCUGGGUCUGUCGUACGCCAUGUCCAACACCGGCGUCGUACUUUUCCUG